GAUGAAGAACGUAGCAAAAUGCGAUAAGUAAUGUGUAUUGCAGAAUUCAGUGAAUCAUCGAAUCUUUGAACGCACAUUGCGCCCGCUGGUAUUCCGGCGGGCAUGCCUGUUCGAGCGUCAUUUCAACCCUCAAGCCCCCGGGUUUGGUGUUGGGGAUCGGCUCUGCCCUUCUGGGCGGUGCCGCCCCCGAAAUACAUUGGCGGUCUCGCUGCAGCCUCCAUUGCGUAGUAGCUAACACCUCGCAACUGGAACGCGGCGCGGCCAUGCCGUAAAACCCCAACUUCUGAAUGUUGACCUCGGAUCAGGUAGGAAUACCCGCUGAACUUAAGCAUAUCAAUAAGCGGAGGA
rnacentral:misc_RNA from 1 species